rnacentral:rRNA from 1 species
AGAACGAACGCUGGCGGCGUGCUUAACACAUGCAAGUCGAACGAGAAAAGGUCCUUCGGGGCCUGAGUAAAGUGGCGGACGGGUGAGUAAUGCAUGGAUGACCUGCCCUUGAGUGGGGGAUAACUACGGGAAACCGUAGCUAAUACCGCAUGAUGAUGUGCUGCUUUCGAGCGGUGCCUUCAAAGUUGGCCUCUACAUGUAAGCUGACGCUCAAGGAGGGGUCCAUGUCCCAUUAGCUUGUUGGUGAGGUAACGGCUCACCAAGGCUCCGAUGGGUAGCCGACCUGAGAGGGUGAUCGGCCACACUGGGACUGAGACACGGCCCAGACUCCUACGGGAGGCAGCAGUGGGGAAUCUUGCGCAAUGGGCGAAAGCCUGACGCAGCGACGCCGCGUGAAGGAUGAAGACCCUUGGGUCGUAAACUUCUGUGAGGUGGGAAGAAAUGUGUUCGAUUAACACUCGGAUGUCUUGACUGUACCAUCAGAGGAAGCCCCGGCUAACUCCGUGCCAGCAGCCGCGGUAAUACGGAGGGGGCAAGCGUUAUUCGGAAUUACUGGGCGUAAAGGGCGUGUAGGCGGCCUGACCAAGUCGGGUGUGAAAGCCCUCGGCUCAACCGAGGAAUUGCACUCGAAACUGGUUGGCUAGAGUCCGGGAGGGGGUAGCGGAAUUCCCAGUGUAGCGGUGAAAUGCGUAGAUAUUGGGAAGAACACCGGUGGCGAAGGCGGCUACCUGGACCGGAACUGACGCUGAGGCGCGAAAGCUAGGGGAGCGAAUGGGAUUAGAUACCCCGGUAGUCCUAGCUGUAAACGAUGGGUACUUGGUGUGGCGGGUACUGACCCCUGCCGUGCCGGAGCUAACGCGUUAAGUACCCCGCCUGGGGAGUACGGUCGCAAGGCUG